rnacentral:rRNA from 1 species
AUGGACGUCUUUGUUGAUUUGUCUCCGUUGGCAGCGUCUCUUGGUGUGAUCGAAAAGCAGAAUGAGCGCGAUUUCAGGCACCCUAUGGCUUUCACGCCACCAUCGUUCAGCCUCGGAAUUGAUUUGAACCAGCCAAUUGAGCCAGUUGAUGCUAUCCCAGUGUCUUAUGCAUUCCCGUCACAGCCGGAGCAGAUGAUGGCGCAGCCAAUUGUUGAUGGCAGAAAGGCUGUCAAAUUUGUCGAGCCUAUUGUUCAAGGAUCACCUAUGGAGAUAUCAUCAUCAAUGGAUGAUGCCCUAUGCAAGAUGGAGUAG